rnacentral:lncRNA from 1 species
CGUAUGUGUGUGUUUAAAAGGUCACAGGUUCGAGAUGUAUAGCAGGGGAAAUUUCCUUUUUAUUUCGAGAUGUAUAGCAGGCGAAUCCUAUUUCCUUUUUAUUUUGUCAUGAAAGGAACUUGGGAAGGAUUUUAUGCCAAAAUAGGACUCAUGGUAGUACCAAUUCGGCUAUAGGCAAUUAAAUGUCGAAAAAGAUUUUAAAAUUUUGGCUUGUAUGGGUUGGUUUUCUUCUUUAUUUAGUUUUGGGUAUUUUUAAGUGUUAGUCGAUUUAGGUUGGGGCCAUUCACAUCUAUUAUUAUUUUUGAGAUCGACCUUCAUUCUUUUUGUUCAUCUUUUCUU